UGCGUUUGGCAGUACAAUGAGGCGGUGCAUGCAGACAGAGACCCAUUGUGCAUGCUGUCUUUGUUGCCACCGGUCUUGUCUUGAAGUGCAACAUAAACAGUAUAAUUCUCAGUUCGUCGUAUGAGAGGUAAAACGAAUAGGCCUACUGAGGGGUGCCGAUAGAGUGCCACAGUGCAUUCUCUCCUUACUGGCACCGAUCUUGGUUUUGUUAACGCCUUGAAUUGCAACAUAAACAGUAUAAUUCUCAGUUCGUCAUAUGAGAGGUAAAACGGGUAGGCCUACUGAGGGGUGCCGACAGAGAGCCAUAGUGCAUUCUCUCCUUACUGGCACCGAUCUUGGUCUUGCAGUGCUCUUAACGCCUUGAAAUGAUAGCAGUCAAACAGUAGAAUCUCAGUUAUCAGUUACUAUAUGGUCUUGAAGCGGUUCGAUUGAGUAUGGAGAGAGAGCCAUAGAGAGAAAUUGUACUGUAGUGCCUUCCGUCCUUACUGGCACCUGUCUGUUAAUUUCUUGUCGCUGCGAAGUGCCAAACACACACUCAUUUCCUCGUUUAUAUUAGACUGUGCCAAAGCGGGGUGGUGAAGCGGUAAAAAGCAAUAGAAGGCAAGGAAGUGAACUCUAGUGCCCGUCCUUACUGGCACCCUCUCUCCUUUGGUCUUGUUCCUGCGGAGUGCCACAUACACACUCAUCUCGUAUUAGACUGUGCCAAAGCGGGGGUGGUUGGUAUAGCGGUAAAAAGAGAGAAUGUGUACUGUAGUGCCUACCGUCCUUACUGGCACCCUCUCUCCUUUGGUCUUGUUCCUGCGGAGUGCCACACACACACUCAUCUCGUAUUAGACUGUGCCAAAGCGAGGGUGGUUGGUAUAGCGGUAAAAAGCAAGAACGUGAACUCUACUGCCUUCCGUCCUUACCUGCACC